UCAGUACCUGAACAAGGGACUGGCUAUAGGAAGAAGCAGUGCUUACUGGGAGCCAGCCACUAACCUUGUUUCUGAGCCCUGCAGCCUCCUUUCAGAUUAUGAAGAUACAGCAGAGUUGAAGAAGGGAAUGAAGAUCAUUUACCAUAGCGAUACCUCUGACAGCCUUUGAUGGCCAGCAUAUUCUAUCGAUGGAAAGAAAUUUGCAGCAGUCUCAAUCUGGAACCAAGUCAAAGGGAUCUCCAGUCAUCCUUCAGCAGUGAUGUCAUCAAUCACAUUGAAAUUCACAAGCAGCAAACUACAGAGUUAAAAGUAUUUGUAUCUAAAAUUUUAGAUCAAAAAAUAAAUAUUUGAUUCCUUUAUGGUAGAUAUUAAGUUAAAGGCAGAUAACAUUUCAAACAAUUAAA